UGAAUUUCGGGUUCUUUUUUUAUAAAAAAAAGUGCCCUUUUCAGCACAUCACAGUAAAUGUUAUUCAGCCUAUAUUAUUUAAAACUCACCAGCGGCUCUAGGAGUUGUUCUGUACUCGCAUUGUUGUUGUUGUUCUCGUCUUGAAUAAUGCUUUGACGAGUAUAAAAACGGAAUUUCUCAAAAAAAUAUAAAAGAUAUUAUUAAUAUAAAUUUUUAAAAAAAGGAACACUUAUGGGGUCGUUGAGGGUUGGAUAAACGAGCCGCUUGAGCCGUUGCAGUUGGCGGGAAUGAACUCUGAAUGAAUUUAUAAAUUUAUGAAUUGACACUGAAUUUAGUGAUCAUAUUAUACAUCCUAUAUUGAAUCUUAAUACUCAUAUUAAGUUAUAUUACAUAGUAUAUUAUUAAAAACAUUUUUCUCCUUCUGCACACUACAUAUGCAGAAGAAGAUCUGCAGUCCGGAGACUUACUUAAUAUUAGCUUAUUGUAGUUUAAAUUCAGCUAAAUCCAGAUGAGGGAUGAAGGAAGUCCAACACUGAUGGAGUCAGGAUAAGCUUUCAUCAAUUAGACCAUGAUCGCUGGCUAUAAACCAACUCAAUAUCCAGCAUACAGCCUAGAAGUAUGCUAGAUGAAAGGGCGUCCACCACUAAUGGAACCGGGAUGAUCACAGCAUAGAUCUGUAUGCAUGAUGAGAGGGGCCCAUCACAGUUGGAGCCGGUGCCUAAAGCUGUAUGCAGGCUGCAUGAAGUUUAACAUCAGCGGAGCCGGGAGGAUCCUACAACAAUGAGACCCUAUGUGGGAUAAAUUAAUGUCUACUCAUAUUAAGUUGUUCGGUCAAGUCUGAGAAAGUGUUUAAACUAUAUAAUCAAAAUAUCUACUCAUUCUAUUAAUUCUAGAUGCAUGCCAAGAUCUUCUGGACGCUGAAAUGCAUACAUAGAUGAGGGGUCCCCACAUAAAACAGGGUGGGCGUCAAAACCUUAACGACCAUAACCCGGCUUUGACCCUCCACCCAGAACCUCCGUGCCCAGCAGCCCAGCCUCAAGUGUCCAACAUAAUUAAGCACAGUGUGACCGUGAGCUGGACGCCUCCAGCCCUACGAUGGAGGAGCUCCAGUUCUGGGCUGCGUCCUGGAGAAGAGGAAGAAAGGCAGCACCAUGUGGACUUGCUCACAGACACGUCUUACUCAGUGGGAGGACUGGUGAGUGAGGUGGAGUACGAGUUCCGAGUCACCAGCGUGAACAGGGCUGGAGCAGGAAGCCCCAGCAGCGUCGCUAACCCAGCGCUGGCCAAAGACCCCCCCCACAGGAGUUGUUUACCCCCUCACCGUGGGGGGCUUCGGAAGAAGAAAAGGUACCACUUCCACGUCCGGGCUGUGAGUGAAGGCGGGCUGGGGGAGCCCACUUAGCUGCUGUAGGGGGCGCUGGCAAUGCCCCCACCUGGUAACAUAAGAAUGGCUCCCAGGUUUUACCUGCGGUGAAAGCUGAGGCCCCAAAUGGUGGUUUGAGCUGGGUUCUCCCAGAUCUCCCCUGGCCGCCAGAGAACCUGAGCACUGACGAUGUGAUCCUCAAACGGGACACCCCCCCUUCCUAAUGUGUCUUCAGCAGCAAGUACACCAUCCUGGUUCUCAUGGGGCGCAAGCGCUGACCCACGGUGGUCCACUCUGACCUCGGGUGCUGUCUCUGUGGCUGCUGCAGCUCUGCCUGGGGGGCUCUGUGUGAGCGGCUUGGGUGGCAACACCUGCCCUCCUGGAACUGAAGCUGGUUGGUUCAGCGUAACACAUGCUGCUUGUUGAACUGCUGGACAGAACAACAAAAAAAGUAUACCAUUACUGGGCUGCUUCCUGGGAGGAGGUACUACUUCAGGGUUCACUAUUGGGGACAGUGAAUUGUUGGACACAAAGGAAACUUUGGUCAUAGCCAAGGAAAAAGACUGCAUCAACACCUUCAGUUGGAGAAGGCACCGCGCCAGCUCAAGCCCACGUUCCUGCUGCCACUGAAGGACCACGCUGUUCGCAGGGGCCACGGCUGCACCAUGACGGCAUGCCUACAGUGUGCACCCAGGUCAUUGGGUGCCUGGUUGACAUGUAGCUUUAUACUCUACAUGUCCUGUUUGGCUGGUUUUAACUGUAGCAUGCCAGAAAACAAUAAAU